GACAGAGGGUGCAAACGUUGCUCGGAAUCACUGGGCGUAAAGGGCGUGUAGGCGGGAAGGAAAGUCAGAUGUGAAAUCCCUGGGCUCAACCCAGGAACUGCAUUUGAAACUCCCUUUCUUGAGAUGUCGGAGAGGAAAGCGGAAUUCCUGGUGUAGAGGUGAAAUUCGUAGAUAUCAGGAGGAACACCGGUGGCGAAGGCGGGUCUCUGGGCAGUAACUGACGCUGAGGAGCGAAAGCGUGGGGAGCGAACAGG
rnacentral:rRNA from 1 species